rnacentral:piRNA from 1 species
UGGCACAGGAUGUGAGACAGGUGUCGG